GGAGAGUUGGCCGAGCGGUCGAAGGCGGCGGUCUUGAAAACCGUUGGGGGUUAGCGCUCCCCGGGGGUUCGAAUCCCUCACUCUCCGCCA
rnacentral:tRNA from 1 species